GGUGGCUCAGUGGUAGAGUGCUUGCCUUGCAUGCAGGAGGACCUGAGUUCGAUUCCUCAGCACCA
rfam:Dipodomys ordii contig_27534, whole genome shotgun sequence.